rnacentral:rRNA from 1 species
GACGAACGCUGGCGGCGUGCCUAAUACAUGCAAGUAGAACGAGCGGCGGACGGGUGAGUAAUGUCUGGGAAACUGCCUGAUGGAGGGGGAUAACUACUGGAAACGGUAGCUAAUACCGCAUACCAUCAGAUGUGCCCAGAUGGGGUUAGCUAGUAGGUGGGGUAAUGGCUCACCUAGGCGACGAUCCCUAGCUGGUCUUAGAGGUUGACCAGCCACACUGGAAUGGAGACACGGUCCAGACUCCUACGGGAGGCAUCAGUGGGGAAUAUUGCACAAGGGGUGCAAGCCUGAUGCAGCCAUGCCGCGUGUGUGAAGAAGGCCUUCGGGUUGUAAAGCACUUUCAGCGGGGAGGCGUUACCCGCAGAAGAAGCACCGGCUAACUCCGUGCCAGCAGCCGCGGUAAUAC